rnacentral:tRNA from 1 species
GAAGAGGUAGCUCAUGGGUAGAGCGCUUGACUGACUAACCCUCAUGGGCCCUGGGUUCGAUUUUCAGCAUCCUCA